rnacentral:lncRNA from 1 species
CCUCUAUGCAUUCCCUGUGCAACCCAGUCCAACCAACAAUCACCAGACUCAACACUUGUAACAUCCUCUUCCCUUGUGCAGCCACCACUGCAGUCACCAGCAGCCCAACCCAACCCUCACACACAGAGCCCUUGCACAACAAGUCAUCUCGUGCAUAACCAUGCUUUGUACAGUCCAUCCUUGCGCCGUCUAGCACCGUUCAGGCCUUGCACAGGCAAGCUCUUGCACAGUCGCGCAGUCUAGCUUCGUUCAAGCCUCACACAGGCCAACGCAUACACCAUCAAGCAGUCCUGUAGGCCAGCCCAUGUGCCAUCCAGUAGCAUCAUAGUCCAGCAUAGCCGCAUAUUCCAGCAACCCCUACAUCGUCUAGUAGUCCUAUAGGCCAUCCCCUGCACUGUCUAGUACAUUUAGCAGCCGCGCAAUCUAGCACAGCCACACAGUCUAGCAACCAGUAGCCCCAUAAUCCAACAACCAGUAGUCAGUAGUCUAGCGCAGCCAUCAGUUGCACAGUGCAAUUCAGCCUCCAGUCAUUGCGUAGUCUAGUGUAGCCAGCAGUAGCUGCUCGUGCAGUCCAUAUAUCGUGAAGUCUAUAUGUCUGAUAGUAUGACACUUUAAAAAAAAUAUAUUCUCCUUUGAUUUCCUAAGAUUGAUUCUUGGUGUUACGUUGAUAGUUAACCCAGUCAAGGAGGUUGCCCCAGCCCAUAUGGUUUUGUGCCCAACUCCUAUCUACCUAUCUUUUAGUCCCACGGACGCUAUAGUUGCAGGUACUCUUAUCGCUUUUCAUGAUAAGUCAAGUCACCCCACUUGAAUUCUGAAUUUUGGAGCUAAUAAUAACAUGACUGGUGAGCUUUCUACUUUUACCUCUUCUAUUAGUUUCAUAAAUCAAUCUGUUUGUAUUGCUGAUGGACCAUCUAUUCCCAUUUAUAGUCAGGGUGAUGCCCACUUUUCCACAGAUAUUACUCUUUCCUCAAUUUAUUAUGCUCUGAAUUUUGCCUAUAAUUUUCUUUCUGUUAGUUGUCUUGCAAAAAACCUUAAUUGUGCCGUUGUAGUCUUACCAUCUCGUUGUUUCUUGCAGGACUUGAUUUCGAAGAAGAUUCUUGGCAGGGGAUAUGAGAGUGAUGAACUGUACUACUUUGGGGAUCCGCCAACAUCUAUUGCUUUGUCCUUCAAUCUUCAAGCCUCUACUCUACCAGUCUUAGAGCCCUCCAUUUUAAGUUAGUCUAUAUUAAAUUCGUUUGUUUGUUCUAUUAAAACUUUAAAUUAGUGGCAUGCUCAUUUAGGGUAUGCAAUUUUUUUGUAUUUAUGUUGCCUUUUCUCCCAUCUUAAAAAGGCAUGCCAGAAAGUUACUUUUAAAUGUUUCAUUUGUGAAUUGUCUAAACAUACUCGCACCUCUUAUAUUUCACGCAUGCAUUGUGCACCGAGUGCUUUUGACCUUAUUCACUCAGAUGUAUAGGGCCCGUCUCCAGUUACUUCUUUCUCUUAACACCAUUAUUAUAUCACCUUUAUGGAUGACUACACUAGGUGUACUUAGGUCUACUUGAUGCGCAAUAAAUCCGAGGCCUUUUUCCACUUUACUUAUUUUCUACAAAUGAUCAAAGGGGUAUUGGUGUUAUGAUCCUGUCACUUUUGAAAACUGUUCCAUUCUUCUCAGGUUCUCCAUUUUCUCUGGGCCAUGCUUCAAAGCUGAUUGUGGAAGAGGGCUCUACACCUCCACGUCCGCUUCCUAUACUUGAGUCUCCUCCAAUAUCGCCCAGUGACUCUUUACCCUCGAGUGUUACUACCGACCCCUCAUAGGACUACCCUUAUUAUUCACACGCUCCAGCUCCCCUGCCAACAUCUUCUACGAAUUCAAGUAUCUCUUCUCCUUUAGUUUCUAAUAUACCUCAUCUCCGUUAUCCCACACGUGUUCGUUGUCCCCCUCCCCCCAUUUUCUUCUUUCAAAUAGUACUAAUCACUCUAUUGCACAAUAUCUAUCUUACCAAGGUCUUUAAGACUCCUAUCAGUCUUUUUUGAGUCAAGUGGACUCGGUCUCGAUUCCUCGCUUUGUCCAUGAAGCUCUUUAGAAUCUCUGAGGGUUUCUGCAAUGAAAGCCGAAAUGGAUGCUAUUCAGCACAAUCGAACUUGGGAUCUUAUUGCUUUGCCGAAAGGAGAUCGCACUGUUGGGUUAUAAAUGGGUGUUCAGUGUGAAGUAUUUGGCAGAUGGUUUGGUUGAUCGAUAUAAAUGGUUUUGUUGCUAAAGGCUUUACUCAGAUUGCAUGUAAAGAUUUGGGUGCCACUUUUGCCCUAGUUGCCAAAUUAAACACUAUUUGCCUUCUGAUUUUUCUUGUUGCUUCUUAUUCGUGGCUUCUUCACCAAUUGGAUGUCAAAAAGGCUUUCCUUAAUGGUGAUCUUUCUGAGAUUAUAUAUAUGGAUUUACCUUUAGGUUUUUGGACUUAGGGGGAGUAUUCGGAAAAUGUUUGUCGCCUCCAAAAAUCUAUCUAUGGCUUUAAGUAGUCUCCUU